CACGUAGGGCGCGAGCGUUGUCCGGAAUUAUUGGGCGUAAAGAGCUCGUAGGCGGCCUGUUGCGUCCGCUGUGAAAGCCCGGGCUUAACCCCGGGUCGGCAGUGGAUACGGGCAGGCUAGAGGUAGGUAGGGGAGAAUGGAAUUCCCGGUGUAGCGGUGAAAUGCGCAGAUAUCGGGAGGAACACCGGUGGCGAAGGCGGUUCUCUGGGCCUUACCUGACGCUGAGGAGCGAAAGCGUGGGGAGCGAACAGG
rnacentral:rRNA from 1 species